GCUGGUAUAGCUCAAUGUGGCAGAGCAACCGAUUUGUAAUCGGUAGGUUGCAGGUUCGACUCCUGUUGCCAGCU
rnacentral:tRNA from 1 species